UACCUACCUAGUAUGGCAUCUUCAUAGCUAUUCGAGAUAUAUUGCCAUGCAACUCCCACUGUUUCGUCUCAUGACUUGUGCCGUCACUUUCAUAUUGCCAUUGCAUGAUCGUAAGAUAGCUAGCGAGAUGUUUCAACGUCAUACGCCAAGCUAGAUCAUUGCACAUCCCGGUACAUUGCCGGAGGCAUUUCCUAUAAGAGUCAUCAUUGUUCUAAGCAUUGAGCUUUGAGUAAAUUACAGUGUGAUAAUCAUCAUUAUUAGAGCAUUGUCCCAUGUGAGGAUAUAAAGAAAAAAGGCCAAAGUUGCCCACAAAAAAAUAUAUGGAAAGAGGCCAAAGAGCCCAAACAAAAAAAGAGAGAAAAA
rnacentral:lncRNA from 1 species